GUCCCAGCCCAAGCCCAGAGCAUGCAAGAGGGAGCUGGCCCAGGAGAUACGGCCAGGACACAUUCUUCUGGUGACCUUAUCCCAAGGGGCUUUGGGAAGCAAAGGAGCUAUUUUGGGAGUUCACCUUAGCUGAAUCUGCUGGUGAGGGGCCCCAGCCGCCUGAGACUGACUGAAGCCUCGGUCUGACUCUGCCUCGUGGCCUUCGCCAAAGUUGAAUAGCAGAUGCUCAAUAAAUGCUUUCUUAACUUCUCGG